GCGAGAGUCCCGCCAGAGCGGCAUGGCGACUUGGCGGCUUGGCAGCGAUUUCUCAGUGCCGCUGGGUGCCUGGGGCUGUGGUUUCCCCGUCCCGUGGUACGCGCUGUUCUUCGGUUACUCUUUUAAGCUAUACUUGAAGAAAUUCAGCCAUAUUUAAACUGCCUGGCCAGAGAGGAACCUAUGAACUUGGCAGGAGGCAGGCUUAGAGCUUAGGGGCAACUGCGAAAUCUCAGUUACAGGGAGGAUAAUCUGGAAGUAUGCACUGACUGAGACCCUGUCCAAAUAUUACACAAAUCUAAGCAAGAAUCAAAUCCAAAACUUUGGACAUACUUGAACAACAGCAAGAAAGGACAAACGGAGUGCAUGUGUCUACAUCAGUGAACCACAUUCUUUAUGGAUCAUGGCUCCAUUUGCUGCCUCCAUUUUGAACUUUUCUUCAUAAAUUCAGGCCAGUUAUUGGAAUCCAGGGUAGCAGUUGAGACCUUCAACUGGAGGCUUUCUUCAGCCAAUGAGAAAAUGCUGAGAGCAUCACAACGUGAGGACCCAAAUCGAAGCACUUGAGCAAGUGGCUUUUUUUGUCUUUUUUUUUUUUUUUUUGAGUUCUUAUCAAGGCUGAAAAAUCUUCUAAGCACACAUGAAAGAAACAGCAGGACCAAGACUACUUUGAACUUACUGCACAUGAUUCCUUUCAUAUAAGACAUGUUCGACAAACAUUAAUUAAGUCUCCAAGCUCCUCUUUGAAGUAAUGUAGGAAAUAUGUACAGGUGGGGAAACUGAGGCCCCAGGAACUGGAAGGAGAGCCUGAGGACAUACUAGGGCAGGUGCAGCAUUUGAAAAGACCCUCAUAUGAGGCCCUCAUUUCUCUGAUGAGGCCAGACGUAGGUGCUUGUUUCCUAGCAAAGGUCUUCCAGCAGUUCUCUAAACCAGGCAGGAUGAGGCAGGCUGGUUAAUUUACUCCAGUGGCCACAUUCUCUGGCCUCAGACUUGGCAGCCAUGGGCCUUAUAGCACACCCUGGCUACUUAUA